rnacentral:rRNA from 1 species
GACGAACGCUGGCGGCGUGCUUAACACAUGCAAGUCGAACGGUGAAGCGCCUUCCUUUUUGGUGGGUGUGGAUGAGUGGCGAACGGGUGAGUAACACGUGAGUAACCUGCCCCCUUCUUCUGGAUAACCGCAUGAAAGUGUGGCUAAUACGGGAUAUUCUGGGUCUGUCGCAUGAUGGGUCUGGGAAAGAUAUUGUUUCGGUGGGGGAUGGGCUCGCGGCCUAUCAGCUUGUUGGUGGGGUGAUGGCCUACCAAGGCGGUGACGGGUAGCCGGCCUGAGAGGGUGGAGGGUAACACUGGGACUGGGACACGGCCCAGACUCCUACGGAGGCAGCAGUGGGGAAUAUUGCACAAUGGGCGCAAGCCUGAUGCAGCGACGCCGCGUGAGGGAUGGAGGCCUUCGGGUUGUGAACCUCUUUCGCCAGUGAAGCAGGCCUGCCUCGUUUGUGGGUGGGUUGACGGUAGCUGGAUAAGAAGCGCCGGCUAACUACGUG